rnacentral:rRNA from 1 species
AUUGAACGCUGGCGGCAGGCCUAACACAUGCAAGUCGAACGAGUGGCGGACGGGUGAGUAAUGUCUGGGAAACUGCCCGAUGGAGGGGGAUAACUACUGGAAACGGUAGCUAAUACCGCAUACCAUCGGAUGUGCCCAGAUGGGGUUAGCUAGUAGGUGGGGUAAUGGCUCACCUAGGCGACGAUCCCUAGCUGGUCUGAGAGGAUGACCCGGCAAAACGGAACCGGAACCGGGUCCAGACCCCACGGGAGGGAACCGGUGGGAAUUAUUGCCAAAUGGGGGAAAGCCGGAUGCACCCUGCCCGGGUUUAUGAGAAGGGCCUUCGGGUUGAAAAUAACUUCAGCGAGGAGGCGUUACUCGCAGAAGAAGCACCGGCUAACUCCGUGCCAGCAGCCGCGGUAAUAC